GAUACCCUGGUGGGUGAAAGAUGAUAUUUCUUCCUUCUUCCGCAGGUUUAUAAUAUGACCAAAAGGAAGUGACACUAAAACUUUAAAGUCACCAAAAGCCCAUUUACUAAGCUCCAGCGCUCUUCCUGGGCAUGUCAGGGACCCAGACUUGUAUGAAGUUAAAAAAAAAAAACAGUUUCCACUGUGGAGAAACACAGAGCCUCCUUCCACAAGUGUCCUUUAUGUGUCCAGAAGUCUCAGACGUUCCCCAGCCUCCUGGGCGCAUGGCGGUGGGAACCCCCGCUGGUCCCAGAGGGUUGUGUCAUGUGCUUCGUUCCAGUCAAGAUGUGAAGGAGCUCAAGAAAGCUCUGAUACGGAGCCGUUGUCCUGGAGGAUGCUUUUGACGCUCCUGAAACAAAGGCAGCAUGUCCAGGAAAGAGAGGACUGGGAGGACGCAGCCCCUGUGGAUGCUGCUGAACAAGUGUGUGGCCCAGAGACGGGGGAUGAGCCAGAUGGACCUCAGCAGGCCUGGAGGCUGCUGCACUUAGGUAUUUUAAAGCAAUAAAUCUAUGGCUUCCUAUACUUGAAGCAUUAUUUAUUCUGCUGCAAGUUUGA